ACGGGUGAGUAAUGUCUGGGAAACUGCCUGAUGGAGGGGGAUAACUACUGGAAACGGUAGCUAAUACCGCAUAAUGUCGCAAGACCAAAGAGGGGGACCUUCGGGCCUCUUGCCAUCGGAUGUGCCCAGAUGGGAUUAGCUUGUUGGUGGGGUAACGGCUCACCAAGGCGACGAUCCCUAGCUGGUCUGAGAGGAUGACCAGCCACACUGGAACUGAGACACGGUCCAGACUCCUACGGGAGGCAGCAUG
rnacentral:rRNA from 1 species